GUGGCUAUGGCUAGUGGUAGCGCCCUUACCUGGUAUGUGUGAGGCACUGGGUUCGAUUCUCAGAGCCACA
rnacentral:tRNA from 1 species